rnacentral:ribozyme from 13 species
AUUCAAAAGAGAGAGGACAGAAUUUAAUGUCUUCUUUUCUUUGUAGAUUUUCCGCUCUUUUUUUUCUCUGCUCUUUUCAUGCUUCUGGUAUCUGAUCUG